rnacentral:rRNA from 1 species
AGAGUUUGAUCCUGGCUCAGGAUGAACGCUAGCGGCAGGCCUAACACAUGCAAGUCGUGGGGCAGCGGGUGUAGCAAUACAUGCCGGCGACCGGCGCACGGGUGCGUAACGCGUAUGCAAUCUGCCUGUAACUGGAGGAUAGCUCCCUGAAAAGGGAAUUAAUACUCCAUAAUAUUAUAUCCGGGCAUCUGGGUAUAAUUAAAGCUCCGGCGGUUACAGAUGAGCAUGCGUGCCAUUAGCUAGUUGGUAGGGUAACGGCCUACCAAGGCUACGAUGGCUAGGGGAUCUGAGAGGAUGGUCCCCCACACUGGAACUGAGACACGGUCCAGACUCCUACGGGAGGCAGCAGUGAGGAAUAUUGGUCAAUGGGCGCAAGCCUGAACCAGCCAUGCCGCGUGAAGGAUGAAGGCCUUAUGGGUUGUAAACUUCUUUUGUACGGGACGAAUCCCCCGGACGUGUCCGGGGUUGACAGUACUGUACGAAUAAGCAUCGGCUAACUCCGUGCCAGCAGCCGCGGUAAUACGGAGGAUGCAAGCGUUACCCGGAUUCACUGGGUUUAAAGGGUGCGUAGGCGGGUUUGUAAGUCAGUGGUGAAAGCCUGUAGCUUAACUACAGAAUUGCCAUUGAUACUGCAGAUCUUGAGUUCAGUUGAGGCAGGCGGAAUGUGCAGUGUAGCGGUGAAAUGCUUAGAUAUUGCACAGAACACCGAUUGCGAAGGCAGCUUGCUAAACUGAUACUGACGCUGAGUCACGAAAGCGUGGGGAGCAAACAGGAUUAGAUACCCUGGUAGUCCACGCUGUAAACGAUGAUCACUGGUUGUUGGCGAUAUACUGUCAGCGGCCAAGCGAAAGCAUUAAGUGAUCCACCUGGGGAGUACGACGGCAACGUUGAAACUCAAAGGAAUUGACGGGGGCCCGCACAAGCGGAGGAACAUGUGGUUUAAUUCGAUGAUACGCGAGGAACCUUACCUGGGCUUAAAUGGAGAACGACCGGUGCCGAAAGGUGCCUUUCCGCAAGGACGGUCUCCAAGGUGCUGCAUGGUUGUCGUCAGCUCGUGCCGUGAGGUGUCGGUUUAAGUACCAUAACGAGCGCAACCCUCAUCGUUAGUUGCCAGCGGGUAAUGCCGGGGACUCUAACGAAACUGCCAGAGUAAUCUGGAGGAAGGUGGGGAUGAGGUCAAAUCAGCACGGCCCUUACGUCCAGGGCUACACACGUGUUACAAUGGCCGGUACAAAGGGCAGCUACCACGCGAGUGGAUGCAAAUCUCUAAAACCGGUCUCAGUUCGGAUUGAAGUCUGCAACUCGACUUCAUGAAGUUGGAUUCGCUAGUAAUCGCGCAUCAGCCACGGCGCGGUGAAUACGUUCCCGGGCCUUGUACACACCGCCCGUCAAGCCAUGGGAGCCGGGAGUACCUGAAGUACGUGACCGCAAGGAGCGUCCUAGGGUAAAACUGGUGACUGGGGCUAAGUCGGAACAAGGUAGCCGUACCGGAGGUGCGGCUG